rnacentral:lncRNA from 1 species
AAAUUACAUUAAAUGGAUGAGAACAAUAUCACACCAUAUAAACACAAUUAGAAGAGGUAUGUCACAAUUGGUAAACAGUCAAAAUUUGAGUUAGCUUAGAUUAAUACGACAUGCCACACGUCAAAUUUUGCACUAUUUACGAAUGAAAAUUUUCUCUUGAUCUAAACUUUCCCAAACAUAAAUUUACGAGUUGAUUGAUAGCUAAUAAAUUUAAAAAAUAAAGAAGUUAAAUAUGGUGUGCGCGCGUGUGUGUGUGUGUGUGUGUAUCAUUACUACAUAACAUGUAAUAUAAGAUGGUUAAAAACUCAAGAGAGCUUAGAUGUAGAGAGUAGGGAUGGGCAAAUUUGGGUUUGAAUCGGGUUCAAACCAACCCGAUUAAAUUUCGGGUGAAUUGAGUUGGGAAAAAUAUAAUCCGAACUCAACCCGAACAUGUGAUCCGAUCAGAUCCGACCGAAAAUAUUCCGAUCGGAUCGAAUCGGAUCAAAGAUUUAUGCUUGUUUUGGCUUUGAUUUUUCUCGAAUUUUCGGAUCGAAUCGGGUUUUCGGAAUGGACAAAAUAUAACCCAAUCGGGUUAAAACCUUCAUUCGAAUCCAAUCAGAACCCAAAUUUUUAGAUCGGAUCGGGUCGAGUUAUCUGCCCACCCCUAGUAGAGAGCAUCUUAAUGCUUUCAGACAUGUCCAAGAUCGAUAAUUAGUUUUGAGUUAUGGAUGGACCCCACCAACUAGGGUUGGCAAUAAACUCCGGAUCUGUAAAGAUCCAGAAGAUCCGGAUCCAGAAAAAUCCGGAUCCGCAUGUUAAAAAAUGCAUAUAAGAAUCUUAAAAAUCACAAUCCGUGCGGAUCCGGAUGCAAGUGCAUCCGAAAAAUCAGAUAUU